UACGUAGGGUGCGAGCGUUAAUCGGAAUUACUGGGCGUAAAGCGUGCGCAGGCGGUUUUGUAAGUCAGAUGUGAAAUCCCCGGGCUCAACCUGGGAAUGGCAUUUGGGACUGCAAGGCUGGAGUGUGGCAGAGGAGACUGGAAUUCCUGGUGUAGCGGUGAAAUGCGCAGAUAUCAGGAAGAACACCUAUGGCGAAGGCAGCUCUCUGGGACGGUACUGACGCUGAGACGCGAAAGCGUGGGGAGCGAACAGG
rnacentral:rRNA from 1 species